rnacentral:lncRNA from 1 species
AUCAGAGAAUUAUCAUAAUUCUUGAAAAUUCUAAUUCAGUAUCAAAUUCAACUUCAUGGAUAGAGUUGAUGUCAAGAGCGAGAUGCCAAGAAGAAUAGUGAUUUUUUGGAGGGAGAAAUUUUCCUCUCGAAGCGAGUCUUUAGUGGAGAUGCGAGACUUGAAGAAUCUAUGCAUCAGGUCUUUUAGCUCUUUCUCCUUGUCUCCUUCUUCUUCUUUUUCAU